rnacentral:rRNA from 1 species
GAUGAACGCUGGCGGCGUGCCUAAUACAUGCAAGUCGAGCGAACGGACGAGAAGCUUGCUUCUCUGAUGUUAGCGGCGGACGGGUGAGUAACACGUGGAUAACCUACCUAUAAGACUGGGAUAACUUCGGGAAACCGGAGCUAAUACCGGAUAAUAUUUUGAACCGCAUGGUUCAAAAGUGAAAGACGGUCUUGCUGUCACUUAUAGAUGGAUCCGCGCUGCAUUAGCUAGUUGGUAAGGUAACGGCUUACCAAGGCAACGAUGCAUAGCCGACCUGAGAGGGUGAUCGGCCACACUGGAACUGAGACACGGCCCAGACGCCUACGGGAGGCAGCAGUAGGGAAUCUUCCGCAAUGGGCGAAAGCCUGACGGAGCAACGCCGCGUGAGUGAUGAAGGUCUUCGGAUCGUAAAACUCUGUUAUUAGGGAAGAACAUAUGUGUAAGUAACUGUGCACAUCUUGACGGUACCUAAUCAGAAAGCCACGGCUAACUACGUG